rnacentral:rRNA from 1 species
ACGCUCGACACCUACGGGAGGCAGCAGUUGGGAAUAUUGGACAAUGGAGGAAACUCUGAUCCAGUGACGCCGCGUGAAGGAAGAAGGUCUUCGGAUUGUAAACUUAUUUUGUCAGGGAAGAAAAAAUGACUGUACCUGAAGAAAAAGCACCGGCUAACUACGUGCCAGCAGCCACGGUAAUCUGAGCGGGCUGGCAAGGC